AAACUGACCAGCCACUCUGAACUGGGUGCCCUGACCCAGGUAAGGAAACUGAGGCACUGAGAGGCUGAAUAGCUUGUCCAAGUCAGUGGAUGAGCCAAGAUUUACAACCUGGCAGACUGCUGUAGUCUAUGAACUUACCUUCUUCCCUCCACACCCCAGAUACUCCAGUUUCCUUGGAUCUUGUAGUUAACAUGACUUCAAAGGCACUAGGGCUUCAAAGUGGCAUUUAAAUUUAAGAAUAGUCAAAGGUCUCUGUGGAGAUAAAUGAGAUAAAAUACAAAGGCAUCCUGAAAA
rnacentral:lncRNA from 10 species